GUGUGCGGGUAUAGAUAUAUGAAAAUUAUAUACUGGUAAUCACAUAUAUAUAAGGGUGUGUGCAUGCGCAUAUAUAUGAAAUACUCAUUGAAUUAAUUAUGUCACCAGUUUAGGUUUAAUUUUUGAAACUUCCCUCCAAGGAACUGGUUUUCAUGCAGUCUCCUUCCAGGAAAAAGCAAUGUCUAGCCCUGCAUGGAGGCAAGUAUGUGGAUGAACGUGCCAAGGGUUAAAGUAUAAUGGACAUUAAUUAUUAUCUCCCCUACAUUUUAUUAAUCUGGACAUUUUCUCGCUUGAGAACACAUGAUGUGCUGAGUUUAUGGUAUACAGUCCUGUUUCAGAGAAAUAAAGCAUCUUAGAUUAGAUCCUUUUUAAUUCCUUGAAGUAUAAUGGAUAAUAAAUUAUUUAGUUUAAUUAAAACCUCUUUAUCAGAUGGGCAUUUACCCAUGACAUUGUCAUGCAUAACUGGUGCUCUACAGAAGGCAUCAUUUCCAUUUCUCUUCUCAUUUCAUUCACGGAUUCCUUUAAUUGCAUUUCAAAUUACAUCUAUUUCCACAAAGUCAUACUAUAAACCCGGCAGAACUUCAUGCCUACUCCUCUACCUUCAACAUUAAAAAUGUCUCUCUUCUGUUUGCUUUCAAAUUCAUCCUUUUCCCCUUGUUUUUGAAUGAAGAAACGAAGGAGCACUAAAGUAUGGUAUUUAAGGGGUUUCUAAUAGACUGGCCUGGCUUGAAUCCCAGCUUUACAUUUUGGAAAAUCACUUACCUUCUCUGAGUCUCAGUUUCCUUUCUCACCUUAUGCGGAUAAUAAUAGUUUUUAAAUACAAUGAAGUAAUACACGUAAAAUAGCACAUCUCCUGGCAUCUGGUAAGAAAUGUUGGCUACGAUCAUAAUUAUUUUAAUCAAAUUUUACUCAAUGUCUUGAAAUCCAUUUUCGUUUGGGGCAUGGGAGGACAGAGGGAUGAUAUGAUGCAAACAUAGCCUUUUAACACUAAAACUUCAGACUGAGAGUUGGGAGACUAGACUCUAUUAGGAUUCUGGCAUCAAAGUUUAAUUUCCCUUGAGCAUGAGGAUUCCCUGAAUUCGCAAGGGUACUAGUUCCCCUCGCUGUUCCCUCUCUUGCAAGUUCAUUAUGUUCUCAAUUUUAAUAUUAUUUUAAAUUGCCUUCAUUUUAAAAUAUUGCCAGAUUCUCAGACUCCUUCCUGAAGUAUUAUAGGAAAGACAAAGAAAUUAAUGGGUUCAAGGUAUAUAAGAAUCUAUAAGGUGCCAGAAAUGAGUAGUUUACCAAAGAGUUUGUGGGAAGGCAGGGAAAAGAAUUAUAAUACAUUCUACAAGGCAAAAGUUAUUGAAUUCCUCACAAAAAGGUAUCUUUUUCCCCAAAGGUUUUCCUCUCAUUAACAGCUUCACCUCUCUCCUUUCCCAUCCUAACAUGGCAUAAAAAAGAAAAAAUCCACCACUUAAUCUUACCUCUUCAGGUCCCCAAUUAGCAAAACAAAGUUUGAUAACUGGCUAAAAGCACAUUAUCUGUUUUUCCUCAAGUAUAAUGAUUUUGGGCUCCAAUCACAGUAACAACACUGGGCACUGCUGUCUUUCUAACUAUCCUAAGGUGUAGAUCUCACAGGCCUUUAUCUUUACUCUUUCCUCUUGGGGAAAAUCCACCCUAGGUGUCUUUUCCUUUGUUCACAAAAAUUUGAAUAUUAAAAAAAAUGAUUCCCACUCAUAAUCGAAUACUUGACUACCUACAUGCAAAGUGAGAAGAGUAAUUAAUUCCAGAAAAUGUGGUGUUAGUAACAAUGGUGAUGAUGAUUGUGGUGGUGGCGGUUGUAAAUAAAGAAAAAAGGCAAGAAAACUAAGCUCUACAUGACAUAGCAUCAUCUCUCUUAAACUUCACGAUAAGUGUAGGAGUAGGUACCGUCGCUUUACCUACUGAGGAGGAAACAAAGGCUUGGAUUGAUGAAAUCACUCGUACUCAUUCUUGCAGCCAGUGUUUUAGCUACGGCGUGCCCCAGUCGAAAGCCCAGGCUCUUAACAAAAUUGUAUGUUAUCCUGACAGCUUAGAAUGCAGAAAACAAUAAAAAAUAAAUUAAAAUAAAAUAAAAGAUGUUCACUAGAAAUGUUUUCCAUUUGUUUCAUUUAUACUCUGCUCAAUAAACAUAUUUUGUGUGCCCAUGACAUUUCAGAUACCAAGCUAGGUAUUGGAAACUUAAAAAGAAAACAAACAACAACCUGUGUCUUAUUUAUAUUUUUUCCUUCUAUGCUGCUUACUUGUCUCAUUUAAGCAACGUGCUGUCCCACGUUGUUUCUUAUGUUGAACUAAUUCUUUUGUUUUGUGGUUCUUGUUACUGUUUUGGUGGCAGGAAGAAAUGGAGAUGGUAAAAAUUAGAUAUCAAUAAUUAUUUCUUCAUCAUAAAUUAUCUAAAAUUUGUCCACUUAUCUUUAAAGCCCCCUCUCCUUUCCCUCCUCCAUUUGUAAUUUCAAGUGGACCAGAUUGCUCUGAAAGGAGGAUGAGAUUUCUAAGUUACAGUAACUAUUACAGUGAAAGCGUAUGAUAUUCUUGCUAUGGUUUGCUGGAGAGGUGGGUUGGAUCCAGCUACUUACGUGUGAAAUUCAUAUGCAAGUGAACAACUCUGGGGAAAAAGCAGAGGAAUAUCAUCUACCUUUGCAUGCCAUCACCUAAAACCACAUUACUCAUCUAAUUCUAUCCUAGCAGCAACUCUGUAAGAUAGGUAUUGUUAUCUUCAUAGUUUAGAUACGACAAUAGUACCAGAGAGAUUAAGGGAUGGACUAAAGAUCAGAGCUAGAAGAGGUAGAUGUGGGAUGCAAGCCAGACUUUCUAAUUCUAUCCUAUCACUUCUGACCUCUCUUCAAAAUAACAUUAUAGGACCUUGUCUCUAUGCCAUAAAAUUCUGCACCAGCAGUGCAGAUUAUUACUUAUAGGCACAGUAGGAAUUCUUUACAUAAUGAAAUUGAAAAUUAAACCUUCUCCAUUCCCUGAAGGAACACUCUUUUAUCUUACGGCUUGUGAUCCAUCUUCCUGUACAACAGGCCGCAUCUGUUCCCUUUGCCACUGUGUAUCCUGCACCAGCUCUAGUGCCUGCUACAUGGGGAUACUCAGUAAAUAUUUACAGACAGCAUGGAUGAAAGAAUGAUGGAUGAAUAGCAAAUAGUUAAGUUAUAAGCCAUAUUCACUUUAGCAUAAAUUAAGUCCAAUGUUUUCUUUGAAUCCCUUCCAUUUUCAGGUUUUGAAAUUGAAAGUAGAGAGAGAAAACACAGAGAUGAGCUGGAGAAGGACCGGCUGGGAAGAUGAUGGAAGCUUCUCUCAGGAGCAUGGUGGGCUAUAUAUGCUCACAGAACAAAAACAUAAGGUGAAACCAAAAAAGUCACCAAUAAAGACAUGCCAAGAGCAUGGUGGCAUGCGAAAAAUGUGAACCUAAAUGCUGUAAUUAGGACACUGAGCAUUUGAUGAACAGCAGAGCAACAGAACCAUACACAAGACGUCAAGAUUAAGCUGGGGAUCCUGAAAUAGUUUUUGUUUUGUUUGUUUGUUUUUAAAGUUCCACCUGGGUAAAGCCUCCUGUUUUCUGUUAAGAAUGAAUGCAAAUUCUCUCUGGAAAAUUAAAUCCUCGAUUUAAGCCCUAAGUUUCCCACAAUUUAAGAUCAAAUAUGUAUGAGUUUACAAUCAAAGAUCACAAAAUAUGAAAAGAAAUAAACCACAAGAGUAAAUGCCAGUCAAGCAAUAAACAGCGGAAUCAGGCUCUAAGAAUUUCACAUAAUAGAAUUAUGAAAUAUAUCAUAAAAACAAUUUUGCAAAAAACUUAAAGAUAUGGAAUAAUAGAAAGAAAAGGGGCAUUUAGUAAGAGAAUCAAAUAUAGCGUAGCAGAAUCAGAAUAGAAAGGAAGAAAAUAGGGCUUUUAAAAAAUUUUUUUAG
ensembl:lncRNA